rnacentral:rRNA from 1 species
CAUGCAGGCGGUUACAUAAGUCAGGUGUGAAAUCCCCGCGCUUAACGUGGGCAUUGCAUUUGAAACUAUGUAGCUAGAGUUCUGUAGAGGGGGGUAGAAUUCCAGGUGUAGCGGUGAAAUGCGUAGAUAUUGGGAAGAACACCGGUGGCGAAGGCGGCAACCUGGCUCAUUACUGACGCUGAGGCGCGAAAGCGUGGGGAGCAAACAGGAUUAGAUACCCCUGUA